GACGAAGGAUGCAAGCGUUUAUCCGGAUUCAUUGGGUUUAAAGGGAGCGUAGGUGGUCUUAUAAGUCAGUGGUGAAAUCCUGUCGCUUAACGAUAGAAUUGCCAUUGAUACUGUAGGACUUGAGUACAGUUGCCGUUGGCGGAAUAUGACAUGUAGUGGUGAAAUACAUAGAUAUGUCAUAGAACACCUAUUGCGAAGGCAGCUACACGAAAUAUUGAACUGACGACUGAAGGCUGGGAA
rnacentral:rRNA from 1 species